ACACUCUCUCUCUUUCUCUCUCUCAUCGUCAUCGUGGUCCUCAUCAUCAUCUUCUUUAUUAACCUUUUCGCCGCUCUGCAACACCCUGAAAUAUUACCAUUAAACCCUUCUCUCUCUCUCUGAUUACGCAUUUUUCUACUCUUAUCAGAUUCAGAUUUCCCUUUUUCUCUGCAAACAAACACUUCCCUCUCACGCUUCUCUAUAUAAACAUCCCCCUUUUCGACGCCUCUCUUUCCAUUACUUCACUCUCCUCCUUUUUCCUCUGCUUUACUGGUUCGGAUUGCUUUUUCUUUCUUUGAUUUCGAUUCUCACUUCUCUCUCGAUCGGACCACCACUGUCGUCUUCUCCUCUCCCACCUCCAAAUCCUACGGUUAGGACCCCCCUCCUCGUUGUCAGCCUAUCGUUAAGUUACGUAACUGCUACAUAUAACGCCUUGCCUCUUCGAAGCAACCGUUCUUUAUGUUACUUUUUUUUUUCUGUGAAAAUAGAUGACCGUAGGAUAUGUAUAAUUCUUAUACACGUAUGUAUAUGUGAUACGUCCCGUUUCUGAAUCAGCUGUAACAUCUGCUAUACUUGAGCAAGUUGCAGUCUCUAGGCAAGGGAGACUAUGGAGCCAAAUGGUCACAGAAGAAUGAGAAGAAAAGAGCAUCUUGUUCACCAAAAUGGUGAUACGACUAUGCCUAGUUUUGGUGAUGUAGAUCCAUGGACUGCAUGGGCGUACAAGCCUCGUACUAUUUCUCUAUUACUUAUCGGUGCCUGCUUACUUAUUUGGGCAAGUGGAGUCCUGGAUCCUGAAAGCAGUGCUUCUGGUGACAUGGUUACAUCUGUCAAAAGGGGUAUAUGGGCAAUGAUUGCAGUUUUUCUCACUUAUUGCUUGCUACAGGCACCUUCAACGGUUCUUAUUAGGCCCCAUCCGGCAAUUUGGCGCUUAGUUCAUGGAAUGGCUGUAGUUUAUCUUGUUGCCCUCACGUUUUUGCUUUUCCAGAAGCGUGAUGAUGCUCGGCAGUUCAUGAAGUUUCUCCACCCUGACCUUGGAGUUGAACUUCCUGAAAGAUCAUAUGCUGCAGACUGUCGCAUUUAUACGCCUGGGAAUCCUACAAGCAGGUUUAAGAAUGUUUAUGAUACCCUUUUUGAUGAGUUUGUUCUAGCUCAUAUAUUUGGAUGGUGGGGCAAGGCUAUAUUAAUACGUAAUCAGCCACUUCUUUGGGUAUUAUCUAUUGGAUUUGAGUUGCUGGAGUUCACCUUCCGCCACAUGCUGCCAAACUUCAACGAGUGCUGGUGGGACAGUAUCGUUCUUGAUAUUUUGAUAUGCAAUUGGUUUGGUAUUUGGGCAGGAAUGCUAUCGGUUAGGUACUUUGAUGGAAAAACAUAUGAGUGGGUUGGUAUAAGUCGUCAACCAAAUAUCAUGGGCAAGGUCAAACGAACACUAGGUCAAUUUACACCAGCACAGUGGGAUAAAGAUGAGUGGCAUCCCUUGCUUGGUCCUUGGCGUUUUAUACAAGUUCUCAGCCUCUGCAUGGUGUUCCUGACAGUGGAACUUAACACAUUCUUUCUUAAGUUUUGUCUUUGGGUUCCACCUCGAAACCCUAUGAUUGUGUAUAGGUUGAUCUUGUGGUGGCUAAUUGCCAUACCGACGAUUCGUGAGUACAAUUCAUAUCUCCAAGACCGGAAACCAGUGAAGAAGGUUGGAGCUUUUUGUUGGCUUUCGCUUGCCAUAUGCAUCAUUGAACUUCUCAUUUGCAUCAAGUUUGGACAUGGUCUAUACCCUAAUUCUAUGCCUGUUUGGUUGGUUAUCUUCUGGUCAUCAAUUGGGGUAGCCCUUCUAAUAUUUCUGAUUGUUUGGUCAUGGCAACUUCAUAGAAGUCUGGGGAGAAAGAUGCAGUGAUUAUGUUGUAACAUGCGAAGAGCGAGCGAAGCAAGAGAACAAGGUUGUGUUAGUUGGAAACAGAGUGUUCAGAAGUUUACACGGAAUGAUGGAGAUUAUACGGGCUAUUAUAAUGAGAUGUUGGCUAAAUUGGUUGGGGAUUUUGAACUUGACGAGGAGGGUGCAGGCCGAAUAAAUGAUGAUGCUAAAAAAAGGUCAAGAAACACUAAACAUAACGUUGUUACAGGUUUUCCUUCCUCUCAACAGAAUGCCUCUAACAACACUCAUGCGAUUGUUAAUUUGACAGGAAACAGUGAAGCGGCUCCUCCUGUCAAGAGUCGGGAUAGUCGAAAGCAAUGAUCGUCCUGUGUUGGAACUAUCGAGGACUCGACAAUUCUCGGACAGUUAAUGCAUUGAAGGAUUUAGUUACUAGUUACAAGUCAGACAUUUUAUUUUUGAUGGAAACAAAAACUCUUAGUUAUCGUAUAGAAUUUUUUCGUAAUUUUUUACAUUUUGAUGGUUGCAAUAGACAAGGAUUGGGAGGUGGCCUUUUGUUAAUGUGAAAGAGUCACGUGUCUAUUUCUGGGGUUAGCUUUUCUUCGAAUUUUAUUGAUUCGGUUGUUUUGGAAGGGUAAUCUUCAAUGGAGGUUUACUGGUUAUUAUGGAUUUUUGGAAUCGUAACGACGACGUUAGUUUUGAAAGCUUAUUCGAGUUUUAUUUCGUAAAAGCUCUUUUCCGUGAUUUUGUUCGGGAGACUUUAAUGAUAUAUACUUAAGAGACGAGAAAGAAGGAGAACAUAUUUGCCAAAUUAUCUUAUAUGCAAGAGUUUGUUUUUAAA